GCUUAUACUAUUUUCUUGGAUAAGUUAGUUAUUGCAUCACUGUGCCUACAGUUUCUGAUGGAUACAAUUGAAGGGAAGGGACAUUCUUUAGACUCAUGCAGAGAAUUUCCAUCCAUCAAGGCAGGAAAGGCGUUACAGGAUGAGGAUGUGGGAGGAUCUGUUCAUAUCACAGAAAAUCAGGAAGCAGGGACCAAGGCUGGCACCCAUGACCUACUUUCAUUACCUAGGCUUCAUCUACCAAACGUCUCACAGCCUCUCAAAAUAGCACCAUCAGAGGAAGAAUGACUAGUCAAAUACGAGCCUGUAAAAGGUACCCGAAUUCUGGUUUAGAUUGUUUUGAGAGAUACAAGAUUUGCUGAGAUAAGAGCUCAGAAAAUUUGGAUUUUAAUCUCAGGUUUUAUCCAUGGACAACUAUCUACAUUUGGAAAUAAACUUAUGGGACUAGUUUCAGAUUUGGAAUGAUCUAACUACUGGGAUAUAUCGGCCUCAUCGCAGCAGUUGUCAUUUUCAAUGCACACAGACACUCUAAGCAGGGCAAUCCAGAAAUUUGGAACAUGAUCUCAUGCUGCUGUUUGGGUUCUAUUUGUUUCAUAUUUUUAAAAAUGUUAUAGUUUGGGUAUCAAAUGUCCCCUCUACAGAUGUUAAAUGCUUGGUUGUCACUGAUGGAUUUAAUAAUUGACUCAUGAUAAAGCUAACUUCAUUAAUAAGUAUAAUCUGCUGAUAGAUUCAUCAUUGGGUUUCAGAAUUAUGGGAAAGUAGUAGAAAGUAAGUGGGGGUGUCUAGUCUUGAGAUAGGCAUCAUGCCUUUCUGGCAUGAUGCUCCUGCCUUAUUAUGGUCAGGAAAGCAAUGGAGCCAACUGAUGACCAUGGUCUCAAAUCUGUGAACCUAUAAGCAAAAUAAAUCAUUCACUCUUAAGUUAGUUUUUGAGUAUUUUUCUCCCAGUGGUGCAUGCCU